rnacentral:rRNA from 1 species
ACGGGAGGCAGCAGUGGGGGAUAUUGCACAAUGGGCGAAAGCCUGAUGCAGCAACGCCGCGUGAGGGAAGAAGGUCUUCGGAUUGUAAACCUUUGUCCUUAGUGAAGAUAAUGACGGUAGCUAAGGAGGAAGCCACGGCUAACUACGUGCCAGCAGCCGCGGUAAUACGUAGGUGGCAAGCGUUGUCCGGAAUUACUGGGUGUAAAGGGAGCGCAGGCGGGAAGUCAAGUCAGACGUGAAAACUAUGGGCUUAACCCAUAACGUGCGUUUGAAACUGAUUUUCUUGAGUGAAGUAGAGGCAGGCGGAAUUCCGAGUGUAGCGGUGAAAUGCGUAGAUAUUCGGAGGAACACCAGUGGCGAAGGCGGCCUGCUGGGCUUUUACUGACGCUGAGGCUCGAAAGUGUGGGGAGCAAACAGGAUUAGAUACCCUGGUA